CGAGCGAGAAAGGGGAGCAAUCCCCUGAGUAAAGUGGCGUACGGGUGAGUAACACGUGGAUAAUCUGCCCUUUAGUGGGGAAUACCGUUGGGAAACCGACGACAAUACCGCAUAAGCUCGAGAGAGGAAAGCAGCAAUGCGCUGAAGGAGGAGUCCGCGGCCGAUUAGCUAGUUGGUAGGGUAAUGGCCUACCAAGGCUGUGAUCGGUAGCCGGCCUGAGAGGGCACACGGCCACACUGGCACUGAAACACGGGCCAGACUCCUACGGGAGGCAGCAGUGGGGAAUCUUGCACAAUGGGGGAAACCCUGAUGCAGCGACGCCGCGUGAGCGAUGAAGCCCUUCGGGGUGUAAAGCUCUUUCGGCAGGGAAGAUAAUGACGGUACCUGCAGAAGCAGCUGCGGCUAACUACGUGCCAGCAGCCGCGGUAAUACGUAGGCAGCAAGCGUUGUUCGGAGUUACUGGGCGUAAAGGGUGCGUAGGCGGCUCUAUAAGUAUGGUGUGAAAUCUCCCGGCUUAACUGGGAGGGUGCGCUAUAGACUGUGGGGCUAGAGUGUGGGAGAGGAAAGUGGAAUUCCUGGUGUAGCGGUGAAAUGCGUAGAUAUCAGGAGGAACACCGGUGGUGUAAACGGCUUUCUGGACCAUAACUGACGCUGAGGCACGAAAGCGUGGGUAGCAAACAGGAUUAGAUACCCUGGUAGUCCACGCCCUAAACGAUGCAUAUUUGGGUGUGGGUCA
rnacentral:rRNA from 1 species